rnacentral:lncRNA from 1 species
AAAAACUAAAAGAGAGAAAAAGAAAACAAAACGAAACUAGGAAUAAAAAAAACUCCAAAAAAAACCACCUUUUGUAUUCGAAAAUCAAUAAGUAAAUCUCUAUUUUCUCUCUGUUUUUCGUAUCUAAACUGUAAUCCCCCUCCCUUUUUCAGAUUUUUAAACGGCAUUUAUAGCCGAAAGAAAACAAUCGGGAUAAAAUCUAUUUCCCUCCCCAUCCUUGUUGUGUUUUCGCUAUUAUUCUGUCUUUUGCUGUGCUUGUAUGCUUCUUUUUCGCAGGUUUGGUGGCUUGUUGAGGUGUACGUGGAGGCGCAACUCGCGCGGAGAGGGACCUUAGCCCCGAGUCAUACGGUGAUUGGAAUGCUGGAAGCGGCAGCCAAGGGUUUUUCUGUUUAGGGUUUCAGUAGUUAGGGUAUUUGAAAUUUUGGGCUUAAGCUUUAAUUUUGUUGGGCCUAUAUUGGUUUGGGCCUGGGCAUAUGUGGGCUUGUACAGCUGCCCCUCUUUGCUCGUUGUCAUGUAAUGGGAACAGAGCAAAGACUACAAGGCCCAAUUAUGCCCGGUCUACUGAGCCUCAACUUCUUCAGUGCUACUAUUCUAGUAGCCUCAUUCUUUCCUAAUGCAUCUUCAGAGGUACGGGAACUAGCGUUUCAAUCUACUCCACUGGAAUGUCAGAGAGAUAGGAUUCGUACAUUGUAGCUUCUCACAAGAACACAAUUUGAUAUCUUUAAUCUGCUCCACUGCAACUUCAGGAAGAUAAGACUUAUAGCUUCAACUUGUUCUACUACAAAAUAAAUGAUGCGAUCUGCUCUGUUGCAACUUCAAAGAGAUGAGAUCUAUGGUUUUAAUCCACUCCAUUGCAACUUCAAGGAGAUAGGAUUAUUGGCUUUAAUCUGCUCCAAUGCAACUUCAGGGAGGUAAAAUCUGUCAUCUUCGAUCUGCUCCACUACUGCUUAGGGAGAUAAGAUCUGUAAUUUUCAAUCUAUUCCACUGCUACCCAGGGAGAUAGAAUUACUGGCUUCAAUGUACUCCACUGUAACCUCAGGGAGGUAAAAUCCGCCAUCUUCAAUCUGCUCCACUACUGUUUAAGGAGAUAAGAUCUGUAAACUUCAAUUUGUUCAACUGCAAUGUCGGGGAAACCAGAUCCGCCGUCGUAGCUUCAAUCUGUUCCACCGCACUGUCAGGGAAGUAAGAUCCGCCGUUGUGGCUUCAAUCUUUUUAAUUGUAAUAUCAGGGAAACCAGAUCCGCCGUCGUAGCUUCAAUCUGUUCCACUGCACUGCUAAGGAAGUAAGAUCCGCCAUUGUGGCUUCAAUCUUUUUAAUUGCAAUAUCAGGGAAACCAGAUCCGCCGUCGUAGCUUCAAUCUGUUCCACUGCACUGCUAAGGAAGUAAGAUCCACCGUUGUGGCUUCAAUCUUUUUAAUGGCAAUAUCAGGGAAACCAGAUUCGCCGUCGUAGCUUCAAUUUGUUCUACUGCCGCCCAGGGAGAUAUAAUUACUGGCUUCAAUGUACUCCACUGUAACCUCAGGGAGGUAAAAUUCACCAUCUUUGAUCUACUCCACUACUGCUUGGGGAGACAAGAUCUGAAAUCUUCAAUCUAUUCCACUGCUGCCCAGGGAAGUAGAAUUACUGGCCUCAAUGUACUCCAUUGUAACCAUAGGGAGGUAAAAUCUGCCAUCUUUGAUCUGCUCCACUACUGCUUAGGGAGACAAGAUCUGAAAUCUUCAAUCUAUUCCACCGCUGCCUAGGGAAGUAGAAUUACUGGCCUCAAUGUACUCCACUGUAACCACAGGGAGGUAAAAUCUGCCAUCUUUGAUCUGCUCCACUACUGCUUUGGGAGACAAGAUCUGAAAUCUUCAAUCUAUUCCACCGCUGCCUAGGGAAGUAGAAUUACUGGCCUCAAUGUACUCCACUGUAACCACAGGGAGGUAAAAUUCACCUUCUUUGAUCUGCUCCACUACUGCUUAGGGAGACAAGAUCUGAAAUCUUCAAUCUAUUCCACUGCUGCCCAGGGAAGUAAAAUUACUGGCCUCAAUUGUACUUCCACUGUAACCACAGGGAGGUAAAAUCUGCCAUCUUUGAUCUGCUCCACUACUGCUUUGGGAGACCAGAUUUUGAAAUCUUCAAUCUAUUCCACUGUUUGUCCACGGGAAAGUACAAUUACUGGCUUCAAUGUACUCCACUGUAACCACAGGGAGGUAAAAUCACCAUCUUUGAUCUGCUCCACUACUGCUUGGCGAGACAAUAUUUGAAAUCUNNNNNNNNNNNNNNNNNNNNNNNNNNNNNNNNNNNNNNNNNNNNNNNNNNNNNNNNNNNNNNNNNNNNNNNNNNNNNNNNNNNNNNNNNNNNNNNNNNNNUCUUUGAUCUGCUCCACUACUGCUUAGGGAGACAAGAUCUGAAAUCUUCAAUCUAUUCCACUGUUGUCUAGGGAAGUAGAAUUACUGGCUUCAAUGUACUCCACUGUAACCUCAGGGAGGUAAAAUUCACCAUCUUUGAUCUACUCCACUACUGCUUGGGGAGACAAGAUCUGAAAUCUUCAAUCUAUUCCACUGCUGCCCAGGGAAGUAGAAUUACUGGCUUCAAUGUACUCCACUGUAACCACAGGGAGGUAAAAUUCACCAUAUUUGAUCUGCUCCACUACUGCUUGGGGAGACAAGAUCUGAAAUCUUCAAUCUAUUCCACUGUUGCCCAGGGAAGUAGAAUUACUGGCUUCAAUGUACUCCACUGUAACCACAGGGAGGUAAAAUUCACCAUAUUUGAUCUGCUCCACUACUGCUUGGGGAGACAAGAUCUGAAAUCUUCAAUCUAUUCCACUGCUGCCCAGGGAAGUAGAAUUACUGGCUUCAAUGUACUUCACUGUAACCACGAGGAGGUAAAAUCUGCCAUCUUCGAUCUGAUUCACUGUCUAUGCAGGAAGGCAAGAUCUGCUAUCUUCAACCUGCUCCACUGUCUCCGAGGGAGGCGAGGUUGGUGUCUUCGAUCUGCUUCACUAUCGAUGCAGGAAGGCAAUAUCUGUUAUCAUCACUGAUCUAUUCUCUGGGGAACAUGACCUGUAUAAUGAACCUAAUUAUGCCUAAUGAUUAGGAUGACAUGAUCAAAAUGAAUCAAAUGCUCCUAACUAGACAGAUGUGAAUGGUGUUUGCAUGAAUGCAGAAUGUCAUGAAAAUGAUAUUUUAACGUUUGAGUUAUUAUUACUCUAGGUUUAUUAAGGUUUCCUCACUAAUGAGCUAUAACACAUUCUUGCUCAGCUAGCAUCUCCGAAAAACACUUAACCAGAUUGCCCCCCACUGUAACCUCCAAGUUUGAUCCACUGGGAUGCAAAAUAUGUACCAUCUUUCUCCUGUUGUAACCCAAGAAUAAAAAGAUUCGGCCUUUUCUCAAUCCUCUGCUAUCACAAUUCAAUGAUACAAGAUGUAAAACUUUUUGGUCUCUUACACCAUUCCCAGAGUGUUGUACCAAAUGCUCAUGCACAAAUGAAGAAAUCUUCUCCAAGAACAACUUCUUCAUAUUACUCGGUGAUCAUUGCUUGCUUUUUCAUUGAAGUUUUGUCACCAACACGACAUCUUGCCAUUUUGUUUAAUUAAUACUUUAGACAAGAAAAUUCAAAGGGAUCGUCUUAAUUUAGACUCUUCUUUAUCAGAUUUCUAACCUGGUGCGUUCUAAACAAUAGUCCUGUUUAAAGUUCCUAUAUUAUUCAGAAACUUCUAGAGUAAUAUGCAAAACUUCCCUUGUGAAAGUUUUAUUAGUCAAUAAAUCAUUAUUCUAAUGCAACAUGCUUGCAAAAAAGAUCAUGGAUAAGAAUAGAGUUGGCUCUGAGCAUAGCUCGAAAUGAAUAAAUUGUCAAGGACAAUAAAGAUGGAUAACAAAGAAACUGAUUUAGGAAUGCGUAUCUUGGAAAUGAAUGAAGUGUUCCAAGAAUAAUAAAAAUAGUAUAAGGAUUAGGUGCCCCAGAUAUCACAGCUUAAACUUUGCUGUACAGACUUUCUGAAGACUAUUCUGAGUUUAACAUGUGCUUGGAGAUCCUACAGUACUUUGUCAAUGCCCCAAGAUGUCGCCUACCCUUUCCUGCUGAUUCAGGUAUAGCAAGACCACUGUAUGCCCAAUUCUGAUCAGUAUUUGAGCUGCUCUGAUAAUUUCAAAUGACAUUUUGAUCAAUCAUUUGAGCCGCCCUUUUCGGGUUUUCAACUCAAAUCCCUUUCGGUCUAAGGCGCCCUUUGCGGGUUUUCACCUUAGCCUCUCCAUUUUUACUUUUUCAUUUUUCAUUUUCAUCUUUUCAUUUUUUCACAUCACUUUUUCUUUUUUGGACUCAAACUUCCCUUUGCGGGUUUUUACCUUGGUCCUCUCCUUCUUUAAGCGGAGAAUUUCCUGACUGAAUCUGGGUUUAUAGGACUUUACAUGUUUAUCAUCCAUCUCGCUCAAAAUUAAAGCUCAUUUGGAAAAAAAACCUUCUCUAUAAUCAUAAGGUUCCUCCCAAUUUGGCAUCCGUUUCCCUCCAUAAUUUUUUUGUAGAUGGAGGAUCUUCAACAUUUGGUCACCCUCGUGGAAUUCUCUAGGAUGAACCUUUUGUUAUAGGCUUGCAUCAUUCGUUUCUUGGUACAUCUGACUAUGAUGAAUAGUUUCUAGCCUUUUUCUUCAAGUAGAUUUAACUAAUCGUAUCGGGAUUGGAUCUUCAUCCUACUUCAGCUCAGUUAAAACCCAAAGAGAAAGAAUUUCAACUUCAAUGAAAAAAAAAUUGUGAUAAACUGAAAAGAGUGGCAUUGCCCCAGUAGAGUUUUCACUGCACCAUUCAUGAUAUUCACCUUGAACAUACUGCAAAUUUCUGAUAUCGUGCUGUUGUUCAGAUUGCAAUAAUAGCGCUUAAACCGGGCACAUCCUGGUAUGACCUUGCGAAGGCAUCUUUGAAUGCUUGAAGUAACCCAACAACGUCUUGCUUUGUUUUUUCGGUCAUGCAUGUUCCCUCAAGGUCACAGUCUCCAUUGUCUCAUCAUGAGGUAAAAUUUUCUUCCUGCUCUAUCAUCCUUAAUAAGUCCAGAAAUAAGCUACGAUCCAUGUCAUCUUCAAAGUUGUGAGAUCCCUCUAAACACAUGUCUCACUCAAAAGGAGAUUCUAAAUCUGUAGCAGUGUCAUUCAUGUCAUUGAUAUUUGGGGACCCAUAGUGGGUACCAAAAAAUAUACAAAAGAAUGUAUGAAUUUAUAUGAAUGAACGAAUGAAUGAUUUGGCAGGAGAAAUCCAAUAGAAUGAAGAAAACAUAAAGACUGAAAGAAUAUUUGCUCAAAGAUGAUUGCAAUAAUGUAUUCAUUAAAAUAAUAAUAUUCAGACGUCAGCCUAUUUCCCAAAGAAAUUCGUGAUGCUUAUAGGCUAAAAGCAACAAGUGUGUUCUGAACACUACUCUAACAAACUCUAAAUACUACAGGGUUUCUUCUGCGGUCCAAUUAUUUAGAACACUCUCAGGUUUACAAGGGCGAAUAUCUGACAAGGUCCCUUCUUCAGUUGUUUCUUCGUAUAUGUCACUGAUGUGAACACCCCAAGCACCUCUUCAUAUAUUGCAUCCACCCUAUUGUCAAUCAUGAUUGGGAAGUGGAUUUUUUUGCACUUGAUGAGUCAUCAAGCUUGACAACACCCAUGUUGAUGAGUUUUUCAACUAGCUUUUUGAAGGUAAUGCAAUUCUCGAUUGAGUGCCCUGUAAUUCCCGCAUGGUAGUCACAUUGUGCGUUCGCAUCAUACCCUUGGGAUACGGAGGUUGUGGGGGUUUUAUGUAGGAAGGAGAGACAACGUGUGCAUUGAAUAAACUUUGGUACAGCUCCUUAUACGACAUCGGAAUUGGCAUGAACUGGAGCUUCUCAGUACCUGGUUUCUCUCCAGAUUCCUGUCUCAAUGAACUUUGUUGACUAGCAACCCCCUUUCCUGGAUGACUAACAGUAAAUAAUUCAGAGUAACCCGUGUUGUUCACCUCAUUUUCUCUUCUCUUUGGGACUAACCUCUUGUUACUCUUCUCUGCAUCAAUUUUCCCGCUCCUUAUAGCGCUCUCAAUCAUUUAACCAUUCAUUACUAUGUCAGGAAAGCUUUUUGUGGCACUUCCUAACAUAUGUGUGAUGAAAGGUGCUUUCAGGGUGUUAAUGAAUAGCAUGGUCAUUUCCUUUUCCAAGAGUGGUGGCUGAACUUGGACUGCGACCUCCCUCCAUCUCUGUGCAUACUGCCUAAAGCUUUCGCUCGGCUUCUUCUCCAUAUUCUGAAGGGUGAUUCUAUCAGGAGCCAUAUCUGUCACAUGACUAUAUUGUUUCAUGAAUGCUUGGGCCAAGUCCCUCCACGAACCAAUCGUGGCACGACUUAAUUGAUUGUACCAUUUGGAUGCUGCCCCUGCAAGGCUGUCUUGCAAACAAUGUAUCAAGAGUUGGUCGUUGUUAACAUAUCCCGCCAUUCGCCUGCAAAACAUAGUGAUGUGAGCUUCUGUGCAGCUUGUCCCAUUGUACUUUUCAAAUUCAGGCAUCUUAAACUUAUGAGGAAGUACUAAAUCUGGUACUAAACUCAGCUCUUUUGCGUCAAUGCCUCGAUAACUCUCAGUGACCUCCAUCACCUUGAACUUCUCCUCGAGCCACCUACACCUUUCCUCUAACUGUUUCGGUAACUCCUCCUUCAUUCUUUCCUUCUCAACCACUUCAUCAAAGUCAGGAAUGACAGAGUUAACAAGAUUAUUUUCAGGAUUAGAAACCGGCCCAGUUUAGAGGUUCGAAAUACCAGCCCGAAACUGCUGAGGCAUGAUAAUGACAGUAGAUUUGCGCGGGUAUUCAGCUUGGGCUCGCAUAUGUGGAGGGGUGAAACCUGGAGGGUAAAGGAUUUCAUCAUCAUUUCCCUCAUCGACAUUUGCCAUGGGGCCCUUUCCUUUAUCACUUCCCUUAGUUAUUAGUUAGGUUAACUUUGCCACUAUAUCUUCUUGGGAUUCUCGCAUCUUCUCAGACAUCUCUUGUUUCAUCUUGUCUAACCGCUCCUGCAUUUGUAGCUGAAGCCGGUCUUGCAUCUCCUUCUGGUACUGUUUGAGCUUUUCUAAUCUCUGAUCCAUAUCUUUUGUCUUUACUCGAGUGUCGUAUCGGUGUCGGGUUGGUUGGUUGGUUUCCAGGUUAACUGAGCAAUAAUUUUAAUUAAUUAGGAUCAAUUAAAGGUUUUUAAUGUAUAUGAUGCGAUGCAUGAGAUGAAUGCAUAAAGAGACGUUAAUUCUGAUUCAAUUCCAUUUAGAAAACUUUACUAGAGGACAAAUUUCUUUACAUAAAGCGGAUAUAUAUACGGCUUUGCCCUCAGACUCCAAGCAAAGACAUCUUCUCCUUCUUCAUCCGGAUGUUAAGAUAAACCUCGUGAACUUCUAAAGGAUGUCACUGCUAGCUCCUUCUGCUUGAUUCUGGUCGCAAUAUGUUGUCUGCCUAUCCUCGUAAUGCUCAUUAGCUUCUUUAAGAAAUUUGGAAUGUUGAAAACUCUUAGACAAGCAUCUUGAAUCAUUGGGCCCCGAAGUAAAGUCACGAAUUCUUCCAUCUUGUAUUUCUUGGAAUAUAUUCAGGCUGCCGUACUAUUUUCCAUUUUAUCAAGAAACCCGUUUUCUUAUGAUAGGCUUUCUAAAUUAGUAAUCAAACUUGAAUCAACAUCUCUUUUCUGCAAUGCAAAUGCAAUGCAAUCAUAACCAAAACAAAACAAAACGGGUUAGUAUCGAGUAUAAACAUUAAAUCCAAUACAAUCAAGAAAUAAUAAAAACUCCUAGUCAGGUAUCUACUAAGGUUUAAAGUAAUUCUACCUAGGGUAAGUUCCUAAGGUUCACUAUAUGCGGUUUGGCUUCUAAGGUAAAGGUACCCGAACCAGCAGAUUCCUCGAUCUUCACUCAUUAUAGGCUCAUAUGGAUCAAGUUCAGUUCAGGGGAAUACAUUUCCCUAUGGCUGCACGGAGAUGAAAAUCUCACGAAGACAUAGGUACGGAUGUAUCCCGUAAGCGGUCUACUACCCUGCACGGAGGUGAAAACCUCACGAAGGACUAGUUUCUCGCUCCCACUUAAGGGGGUAAAACGAACCAUGUAAUGCAAAAUGCAAAUACAAAGUAACCGACUUGAUCCAAUCAUGCAAACCCCAUGAUAAAAAUCAAUGAAUGCGAAGAGAAAUCACGUUCUUUUUAAAAAACUUUUGAUUUUCAACAAGAAGACAAAACAUAACCAAUUCAUGGCUCGACUCUCUAAAAUUCCCCAGCGGAGUCGCCAAGCUGUCGAAACCGUUUUUUUUUUAAAACAAAAAUCUAGUUGUCGACUUUAAAAAUAAAAAUGGAGUCGCCACCGAUCUUUUAUUAAUGUGUGAUCGGCUCACCUUAAAAAUUAUUUUGGUCUACGAAUUUUGAAGAAACGAGUUCGGGAGUCAGUUACGCACGAGGAAGGGUUAGCACCCUCGUAACGCCCAAAAUCGGUACCAUAUUGACCAUUUAAUGUCUUAGUGUCGAAGGUUAAAAAGAUUUUGAAAUCAACUCAAAUGAUGAAAUUUGAAAAAGGAUAAUCAAUUGUUCAAGUCAUGUAAAGAAAUCGAGUCCCAAUACGUUAGGGUACAAUUCCUCAAAACCCCUGAACUUUGAAUAUCACUUUUAUUUUAUGUGAAAAUCUUCAUUUUGAGAAGGUAACAUGCCACACCCAAUACGUUAGGACACAACAAGUUAAGUUCCCAAAAAUGAUUUUUAUACUCAUGCAUUUUGAAUAAAGAAUAUCCUCGGCCAUUUAAGAUCAUCAAAGAAAAUCAGAACCCAAUACGUUAGGGCUCAAUUUUCCUUGAAAAUCCCAAACUUUGAAUAUUGCUUUUAUUCAAAAAACUUUGAAUCAAGAGAAAAUGAUUUUGAUAUUUUGACAAAACCAAAUAUAUUUUCCCUUUUUUUCAAAAAAAAAUGAUAAAAAGUUAAUAUACCUCAUAAAACAAAUACUUUAACGUCAGCUAAAUAUAUAUAUUUACAACAUAUGUAUAUGUACAUAAAUAAGUACAACAUGUAAGUAAAUUUGGAAAUACGUGUAUGCAUAUUAAAACACAUACAGUAUACUUAUAAAAAAAAUGAAAUAUGUAAAACUUAUAAUAACUUCUAAGAAAAUAUGCAUGUUUAUUUUACAAAGAAAAUACAUGUAUGUGUACACAUGAAAAUUUAGAAACUAAGAUAAAAAUAUGAAAAUAUGUAUUUGUGUAUAUAUUUAAAAAUAAUAGAAAUGUAUAAAGCAUAUAUAUAUAUAUAUAUAUAAUAUUAAGUAUAUAAAAGUUAAAAAAAUGUAUGUAUAUGUAUAUAUAUUUACAAAAUAAAAAAAAUACAAAAUUGAAACAAAAUAUAAAAGUAUAUAUAUAUAUAUAAAAGUUAGGAAAAUGAAAUAUAAAGCAUAUGUAUAAAAAUAUAUGUACGAAUAAACGGGUAGUAUAUAUAUAAGAAUGCAUAUAUAUAUAUAUAUAUAUAUUAUAUAAAAACAAUGCGUGAAGACUAUAAGAAAAAAUGCAUAUGUAUAUACAUUAUAUAAAAAUUAUGCAUGUGAACGAAUAUAGAGAUAAUAAUUUGUAAUAAUGAUAAUAUAUAUAAUAUAAUAAUAGUGAUAAUAAUAGUAAAAAAACGAAUUAAAAAAAACGGAAAUUAACAAAACGAAGGACUAAUUUGCAAUGCUUGCGUUAAAUGAGGGGGCCAAAAUAGAAAUAAUCCGCCUUCCUAAAACGCUGCGCAGCAAUGGGGAUUUAAUUUGAAACAAAAAUAAAAUGUGCGGUAAAAUUGGAAAGAAAUAAAAAAAUAGUUUAAAAACACCAUAAAAUAAGAAGGACUAAUUGCACAAAUAGUCCAUUGAAAAUAAAAAGGCGGAUGGUAUAGGCAAAACGGCGCCGUUUUCGUUUCUUCUUUUAAGUUAGCCAAAACCUUAAAAAAAAGUUCUGCUUGUUUCUUUUGUGUUAAAGAACAGUGGUCUGCUAGGGGUUUUUUUAACCCCCUCCCUCCUUGCGCCGCCGUUCGAGCCUAGUGCCCCAUGCCCCGAUUUCGCCGGAGAAGACACCGGCUCGACAACUCCGGCGACCAGGUAAGUCUUUUCCUUUCUUUAUUUUAAAUGAAAAAUAAAAUAAAAUAAAAAACUAAAAGAGAAAAAAAGAAAACAAAACGAAACUAGGAAUCAAAAAAACUCCAAAAAAAACCACCUUUUGUAUUCGGAAAUCAAUAAGUAAAUCUCUAUUUUCUCUCUGUUUUUCGUAUCUAAACUAUAAUCCCCCUCCCUUUUUCAGAUUUUUAAACGGCAUUUAUAGCCGAAAGAAAACAAUCGGGAUAAAAUCUAUUUCCCUCCCCAUCCUUGCUGUGUUUUCGCUAUUAUUCUGUCUUUUGCUGUGCUUGUAUGCUUCUUUUUCGCAGGUUUGGUGGCUUGUUGAGGUGUACGUACGUACGUGGAGGCGCAACUCGCGCGGAGAGGGACCUUAGCCCCGAGUCAUACGGUGAUUGGAAUGCUGGAAGCGGCAGCCAAGGGUUUUUCUAUUUAGGGUUUCAGUAGUUAGGGUAUUUGGAAUUUUGGGCUUAAGCUUUAAUUUUGUUGGGCCUAUAUUGGUUUGGGCCUGGGCAUAUGUGGGCUUGUACAGUUAUUAUUAUAAAAUAUAUAAUUAGGUGAUAGUAGAGGGGACGACGCAUCACAGCCGACCCUUUACUUUUCUUUAGGUUUUAUUUUAUGUUCUUUUAGGUUAAGAUUUUAUUUUUAUUAUUAUAGAUAUAGAUUAUGUAGCCUCAACCACCUUGUUUUAGUUAAUAGGUUUGUUUAUUAUUAUAGUAUAUACUUACGUGGGAAAGGGGAGAGGCGGACAGCCGCCUUAAAACGUUUAUUUUUAUUUUAUUUUCUUUCAAGAAAAUUUCUCCCUUUCAUUCUUUAAUUUUAUAAAUCAAUUUUUUAUUUGCUUUUCGAAAUCGUGAGAAUCGAAACUGUACAUAAUUUUUUUUAAAAAGGGUAUAUCUUAUUUCUCCGGUUAAAAAAUAGACAUUGUCGUCUCACAAAAUUAUAUUGACAUCAAGUAAAAAAGAACUAGUUGAUUUAGUGUUGAUAGACGUACAGUUGGAAGUACCGAAUCAAUCACUUGUCAUAUUUUGUCUAUCGAAUAACACAUUGGUGUGUCCAGUUAAGUAAUUGAUUGGAUCGGUCAAGGGAAAUAACAAUUGAAUCUAAACGAUCUCGCAGUUGAGGAUGUUGGUUUGAGUUGGGCCCUUUCAGUUCCCAAGGCUACUAGAGAACUAAAUCAUGGACGCAUGUUUCGUGGUUAUUCAUCCAAUAAGGGUUAGUUGUUGAGUGUUCUCGUAAUUAAUUUAUACACAGAAGGGUUGGUGGUCUGAGGUAUCCUCCAUCACUAUAACUGACUUAUCAAUUAAAAGAGAAGAUUUGUUAUCAAUGGUCGUUUUAAAACCGGAGCCAAAAUUGAGCCUGGAGUUAGAAUUUAAUCACAUUGGUUUAUUCAAUUUAAUUUUGCUUCUUUUUUUAUUUUUACCGUUAUUUCGGUAUCAAUUAUCUUUAUUAUUUUUAAUUUUACCAUAUUUAAAUUCUUCCUUUUAUUUUUACACAAAUCGUC